rnacentral:rRNA from 1 species
UUGAUUAUGGCUCAGGAUGAACGCUGGCGGCGUGCUUAACACAUGCAAGUCGAGCGAAGCGCUUUGGAAAGAUUCUUCGGAUGAUUUCCUUUGUGACUGAGCGGCGGACGGGUGAGUAACGCGUGGGUAACCUGCCUCAUACGGGGGGAUAACAGUUAGAAAUGACUGCUAAUACCGCAUAAGACCACGGUACCGCAUGGUACAGUGGUAAAAACUCCGGUGGUAUGAGAUGGACCCGCGUCUGAUUAGGUAGUUGGUGGGGUAACGGCCUACCAAGCCGACGAUCAGUAGCCGACCUAAGAGGGUGACCGGCCACAUUGGGACUGAGACACGGCCCAGACUCCUACGGGAGGCAGCAGUGGGGAAUAUUGCACAAUGGAGGAAACUCUGAUGCAGCGACGCCGCGUGAAGGAUGAAGUAUUUCGGUAUGUAAACUUCUAUCAGCAGGGAAGAAAAUGACGGUACCUGACUAAGAAGCCCCGGCUAACUACGUGCCAGCAGCCGCGGUAAUACGUAGGGGGCAAGCGUUAUCCGGAUUUACUGGGUGUAAAGGGAGCGUAGACGGCACGGCAAGCCAGAUGUGAAAGCCCGGGGCUCAACCCCGGGACUGCAUUUGGAACUGCUGAGCUAGAGUGUCGGAGAGGCAAGUGGAAUUCCUAGUGUAGCGGUGAAAUGCGUAGAUAUUAGGAGGAACACCAGUGGCGAAGGCGGCUUGCUGGACGAUGACUGACGUUGAGGCUCGAAAGCGUGGGGAGCAAACAGGAUUAGAUGCCCUGGUAGUCCACGCCGUAAACGAUGACUGCUAGGUGUCGGGUGGCAAAGCCAUUCGGUGCCGCA